CUACGGGAGGCUGCAGUAAGGAAUAUUGCGCAAUGGAGGCAACUCUGACGCAGCCAUGCCGCGUGCAGGAAGAAGGCCUUAUGGGUCGUAAACUGCUUUUAUUUAGGAAUAAACCCCCGAACGUGUUCGGGGCUGAAGGUACUAAACGAAUAAGCACCGGCUAACUCCGUGCCAGCUGCCGCGGUAAUACGGAGGGUGCAAGCGUUAUCCGGAUUUAUUGGGUUUAAAGGGUGCGCAGGCGGGCUAUUAAGUCAGUGGUGAAAUCCCGGGGCUCAACUCCGGAACUGCCAUUGAUACUGAUAGUCUUGAGUUUGGUUGAAGUGGGCGGAAUGUAGCAUGUAGCGGUGAAAUGCAUAGAUAUGCUACAGAACACCAAUCGCGAAGGCAGCUCACUAAGGCAAAACUGACGCUCAUGCACGAAAGCGUGGGGAUCAAACAGGAUUAGAUACCCCCGUAGUC
rnacentral:rRNA from 1 species